GAUGAACGCUAGCGGCAGGCUUAAUACAUGCAAGUCGAGGGGCAGCAUGACUGUAGCAAUACAGUUGAUGGCGACCGGCAAACGGGUGCGGAACACGUACAGAACCUUCCUUCGAGCGGGGAAUAGCCCAGAGAAAUUUGGAUUAAUACCCCAUAGUAUAUUAGAGUGGCAUCACUUUGAUAUUAAAGAUUUAUCACUUGAAGAUGGCUGUGCGGCUGAUUAGGUAGUUGGCGGGGUAACGGCCCACCAAGCCUUCGAUCAGUAACUGGUGUGAGAGCACGACCAGUCACACGGGCACUGAGACACGGGCCCGACUCCUACGGGAGGCAGCAGUAAGGAAUAUUGGUCAAUGGACGAAAGUCUGAACCAGCCAUGCCGCGUGGAGGAUGAAGGUCCUCUGGAUUGUAAACUUCUUUUAUAUGGGACGAAAAAAGGGUUUUCUAACUCGUCUGACGGUACCAUAUGAAUAAGCACCGGCUAACUCCGUGCCAGCAGCC
rnacentral:rRNA from 1 species